CGCGGGGUUGGAGCAGCACGGUAGCUCGUCGGGCUCAUAACCCGAAGGUCGCAGGUUCAAAUCCUGUCCCCGCAACCA
rnacentral:tRNA from 1 species